CGGCGCCCUUUUCAUCAGCUGCCUGCGACUCUUUGGGAAUCCAAAGUUGCUUUCGGGCGUCUUCCCCGAGAGUUUGGAACUUUGUCGCUGAAUCGUUGACAUCCUGUAAUCGGAGUACAGCUGGCACACAGCGAUACAACAGCUGUCUUUUUAGCUGUGGGAAAAUAUCCGGAGGAGGCAACCACAUCAAGUUGAUUACGACAUCAUGGAACAUUUGGCUGAGGAUAAACUCGUCGAGCACUUUUCAAGGUGUUGGACACAUAAAGCAAUGAGAAGACAGCACCAGCUACCCUCCUAAAUCACUCUCUGCUGAUGGCAUUCCGCUCCCAAGACCGAAUGGCCUGUAACUCUGCUGACCUUUAGCUCGGCUGUUAACUCAACACAAGGCCUUGACCCCCCAGGAAGCAGUGUUACUAUAGGCCGAGAAGAUAUACGAUACUGACCGACACCCGAGAAAGAGGAGGUUGAAAGUUGACAGUGAUGAUGUCCGAUGAAGGCAUGCUCCUACAUUAGUUUUGCAUCUUAAAUGCUUGCACACUAUA